rnacentral:lncRNA from 10 species
CUGGAAAAUGCGUGCUUAGUUGAAAUUAUUACGAAGUUCAGCUAGAAGUUUCCUUCAGUCAGAAAUUGUUUCCCUGGGCUUCCUUGGAACUGGGAGUGCCUCAAGGCUCUUCUUGCUGCUGCUUCUUCUUUUAUAUUUUGCUUGGCUCUCUAAAUUUGUUUCAGCUCUAGGUAAGGUUAAAUCCUUCUCCCAUGAUCUGGAUUUUCAGGCUCCCCUGCGAAGAUGUGUGUUUGGGGCAGACUUUCCCCCUCUCACACUUUGGACACUCAACGAUUUUGUGGCUGUCUCUAGGAGUUUGCAGUGGUUUGGGGACUGGAACAGAUCCACUACUGGCCUCCUUGCUCCUCAACUUGUAGACAGCCUGCCUAUCGUGGGACUUCACCUUGUGAUCCUAUGUCACACUGGUUUAUUACACUGAUGACAUUAUGCUGAUUGGACCCAGUGAGCAAGAAGUAGCAAACACACUGGACUUACUGGACUUCCAGUAUGAUGCUGAAAGGGUUUGGUGAGAUGACAAAACAUUUUUGAAAGAAAUGAAUGAAGACCUAUAUGUAUGAAGGAGUGCACCAUGGUCAUGUUUUUCAAGGCAAUCCCUACUCACUGGAGCUACCACUGCUGCAAUUGUUAUAAUAUACAUUUGUUUUGCCUCACUAUGAAUCUGUUAUUAAUAGAAUUAAACAAUAUGUAUACUUUUGUGUCUGACUUAUUUCACUGAAAAUAAAGUUUUUGAGAUGCAUCCAUGCUAUGUAUUAUAUCAGUAUUUUAUUUUGCUUAAUUGAUAAGUAGUGCCCAUUG